UACGGAGGUUGCAAGCGUUGUUCGGAAUGACUGGGCGUAAAGGGAGCGCAGGCGGCCAAGUCAGUCUGAAGUGAAAGCCCGGGGCUUAACCCCGGAAUAGCUUUGGAUACUGCCUGGCUUGAGUGUGCGAUAGGAAAGCGGAAUUCCAGGUGUAGCGGUGAAAUGCGUAGAUAUCUGGAGGAACACCGGUGGCGAAAGCGGCUUUCUGGCGCAUAACUGACGCUGAGGCUCGAAAGCGUGGGGAGCGAACGGGAUUAGAUACCCCUGUA
rnacentral:rRNA from 1 species